CGGGGCAGGGGGCUACCUUACAGUGAGUUGACAGUCGCCCGUUUGUGUGAAAAGGUAAAUCAAUGUAUGAUGAAGAUGCUACAUUCACAGUUGUGCUAGAAAAUAAUCCUUUCAUGUUCUGUACAUCUUUAUUGGAAGAAUUCUUGAUCACGUUCAUUUCUUAUUUUGUAUAUGGAUACAAGUAUCCUAAAGAGAUAGAAUUUUACUUUGGAAUGUGUACAUAGGAUAAUAAUGGAAAUCACCCCACAAACAGGUAGAAAAAGAGAAGGGGCAAAAAGAAAAGUGAAAAACUUUAAUUCUACGGUCUUCAACUUCUCGGAACAGCUAAACAGAUUCACAAACUUAUUUGCAUUAUAGUUUCUAGACAUACAUAUUUAUUUAUUUAAAGUAUAUGAAUUAUUCAAAAAAUAA